ACUAGGAUUUUUCAUGUAGCUGUUAUGUGUUUUGAAAUGUAACUUCAACGAAUCUUUUUUUCUCGAGUGCGCCAAAUUUCUACGUGAUUAUUUUAGUAUGAAAAUUUACGGCGAACGGUGAAGACCUGUUGCCGGACUGUGCUCGUGAAAUUUCUUUAAAAAUGUAAAAGUUGAAACCGGUCUCUGGAACAAGAAUUUACUAUCCCUGUGGAAAUUCUGACCGGAGCUAACAUUAGCGACCUGACGGACCCCUAAAAGGCAAUCCAAGUUUCUUCAGUCGAAAUGGCUAUCAAGGUUGGUGCUACCGUGGUGACACCAACUUCCGGAAAAGGACGUGGGCAUCUCCGAGUGUGUCCUAGAGAAGUGCUAAUGGAGCUGUUGUCCGUCUUUGAUCCGAUCAUCUACACCGGGUGCUUUGCGGUCACUCUCAUGCCGGCCAGAACAAGUUCAAGGCAUCAACCCACGCGUGUGGCGCUAAAUACUAGGAGCAGCCAAUAACUCGACGAAUCGUAGAUCGACGGUGAGAAGAACACAUGACUGCAGUUAAUCAUCGUCGUGGUAUUUUUGUUGGAUAAGAAGUGUUAUGCGUUGCAUCGCGAUCGUUGCAACGCAUGCAUCCGUGAGAUCGUUCAGCAGUAAAUUAUUAAUUGAUAAAUAAAAUAAAUUUAAAUAAAUUUAAAAAAAAA